rnacentral:rRNA from 1 species
GAUGAACGCUAGCGGCAGGCUUAACACAUGCAAGUCGAGGGGUAGAGGCUUUCGGGCCUUGAGACCGGCGCACGGGUGCGUAACGCGUAUGCAAUCUGCCUUGUACUGGGGGAUAGCCCAGAGAAAUUUGGAUUAAUACCCCAUAGUAUUUUCGGUUGGCAUCAACUGAUUAUUAAAGUUUUUCGGUACAAGAUGAGCAUGCGUCCCAUUAGCUAGUUGGUAUGGUAACGGCAUACCAAGGCCACGAUGGGUAGGGGUCCUGAGAGGGAGAUCCCCCACACUGGAACUGGGACACGGACCAGACUCCUACGGGAGGCAGCAGUGAGGAAUAUUGGUCAAUGGUCGCAAGACUGAACCAGCCGUGCCGCGUGCAGGAUGAAGCAUCUAUGGUGUGUAAACUGCUUUUGUACGGGAAGAAACACUGCUACGUGUAGCAGCUUGACGGUACCGUAAGAAUAAGGAUCGGCUAACUCCGUGCCAGCCGCCGCAGUAAGAC